GCCGAUAUAGCUCAGUUGGUAGAGCUGCGCAUUCGUAAUGCGAAGGUCGUAGGUUCGACUCCUAUUAUCGGCACCA
rnacentral:tRNA from 1 species